rnacentral:rRNA from 1 species
GAUGAACGCUAGCGGCAGGCCUAACACAUGCAAGUCGAGGGGUAACUAGAGUGAUAGCAAUAUUACUUUGGCUAGACCGGCGCACGGGUGCGUAACACGUAUGCAACCUACCUUAUACUGGGGAAUAACUCCGAGAAAUCGGCGCUAAUACCCCAUAACAUUGCGAAGAGGCAUCUCUUUGCAAUUAAAGCUCCGGCGGUAUAAGAUGGGCAUGCGUCCAAUUAGCUAGUUGGUGAGGUAACGGCUCACCAAGGCUACGAUUGGUAGGGGUUCUGAGAGGAUGAUCCCCCACACUGGUACUGAGACACGGACCAGACUCCUACGGGAGGCAGCAGUGAGGAAUAUUGCGCAAUGGCCGAAAGUCUGACGCAGCCAUGCCGCGUGCAGGAUGACGGCCCUAUGGGUUGUAAACUGCUUUUGUACGGGAAUAAACCCUUCUACGUGUAGGAGGCUGAAGGUACCGUAAGAAUAAGCACCGGCUAACUCCGUGCCAGCCGCCGCGGUAACAC